GCACCCUUAGCUCAGUGGCAGAGCGCGCCGUUCACAUCGGCGAGGCCGUAGGUCCGAUCCCUACAGGGUGCA
rfam:Parcubacteria bacterium GW2011_GWA1_59_11 TY99_C0005, whole genome shotgun sequence.